CACGUAGGGUGCGAGCGUUUGUCCGGAAUUAUUGGGCGUAAAGAGCUCGUAGGCGGUUUGUCGCGUCUGCUGUGAAAUCCCGAGGCUCAACCUCGGGUCUGCAGUGGGUACGGGCAGACUGGAGUGCGGUAGGGGAGAAUGGAAUUCCUGGUGUAGCGGUGAAAUGCGCAGAUAUCAGGAGGAACACCGGUGGCGAAGGCGGGUCUCUGGGCCGAUACUGACGCUGAGGAGCGAAAGCGUGGGGGAGUGAACAGG
rnacentral:rRNA from 1 species